AUUGAACGCUGGCGGCAUGCCUUACACAUGCAAGUCGAACGGUAACAGGUCUUCGGAUGCUGACGAGUGGCGAACGGGUGAGUAAUACAUCGGAACGUGCCCGAUCGUGGGGGAUAACGAGGCGAAAGCUUUGCUAAUACCGCAUACGAUCUACGGAUGAAAGCGGGGGAUCUUCGGACCUCGCGCGGACGGAGCGGCCGAUGGCAGAUUAGGUAGUUGGUGGGGUAAAGGCCUACCAAGCCUGCGAUCUGUAGCUGGUCUGAGAGGAUGAUCAGCCACACUGGGACUGAGACACGGCCCAGACUCCUACGGGAGGCAGCAGUGGGGAAUUUUGGACAAUGGGGGCAACCCUGAUCCAGCCAUGCCGCGUGCAGGAUGAAGGCCUUCGGGUUGUAAACUGCUUUUGUACGGAACGAAAAGCCUCUUCCUAAUACGCAGGGGUGAUGACGGUACCGUAAGAAUAAGCACCGGCUAACUACGUG
rnacentral:rRNA from 1 species